CCCUUAGAUGUUCUGGGCCGCACGCGUGCUACACUGAGUGGAUCAGCGGGUCAGGUUGCGCGAAAGCGUUUCCUAAUCUUUAAAUCCGCUCGUGAUGGGGAUUGACGGUUGCAAUUUUCUGUCAUGAACGAGGAAUACCUUGUAAGCGCGGGUCAUCAUCCCGCGCUGAAUACGUCCCUGCCCUUUGUACACACCGCCCGUCGCUCCUACCGAUUGAAUGGUCCGGUGAAGCCUCGGGAUUGUGGCUGGUUUCCUUUAUUGGAGGUCGGUUGCGAGAACUUGUCUAAACCUUAUCAUUUAGAGGAAGGUGAAGUCGUAACA
rnacentral:rRNA from 1 species